UCCCCCAGUGUCCUUGUACAGCAAGGAACUGAAUUCCAUCCAUUGCCUUCUGUGGUCGUAGGAUCAGACAACUUAGAUACUGCAGUUAAAGAAGUAUUGCCCUUGUGACUCUUCAGCCCAUGUCUGAGUGCAGAAGCAAUACUAGACUGCAGAAUCACACUCCAGAGUGGAUCACUGCUGCCUCAACUACUGACCAUGCUGCCACCAGAAGGGUGAUGACCCCUCUGAUAGAGGUUGUUUGUCUGGAAAGGCUGCAACCCUGUUCAAACCCAGGACAUGAUUUACUGGGAUUUGGAUGAAGUAAGAACAACAGUGCUGCAUCACAGAUGUGACUUCAUCUGCCACCACACAAGAAAGUCUCCUCAAAUAGCCUGUAAAGUAACUGAUGUCAGAGUUUCCCAGACCUACUGCUUGUGAAACUGUAGGAGUACUUUACUAGGCAGUAAUAACAGAAUGAGCUGUAUAAUGGGGAAGAAAAAUUACUGUGUCCUGUCCAGCCUUGGAGUAACCUUGAAACACUCUUUAUGACUGCAGUUUUUAUUAGUUGCUGUAUCCCACUGCUAAAAUGCUACUAAGAAGCUAAGUAAUUAACAUAUUUGAUUGUGUUCAAUGAAAUAUCUAUUAUUUUCUUCAGUGCAGCUAUUUCAAAGCUCCCAAAUUAAAAACAUUCCUAUUUACAAAA